GCACCUCCGCAAGGUGAAAACACAGGAAAUGAAAGCACGUUUUAGUAUAACCAGGAUGUGAACACAACACACGACGGUCGGACAGCGCUGGGCUAACCUCAACCAGUAAGUCAGCAGAAGUGUCGCAAAGCUGGCUAACGACACAGCUAGAGACUGCGUGAUGUUAAACUCACCAAGAUAUGACCGCGGUGAGUGUCAACAAGCAGAGAGUAAGGCCUCAGCCUCUGCUCCGUCUGCGUAGAACUGUUGGGCACGGUUGGCCUCUACAAGACGGCCAUGGCGUUUGUCUGUCUCGGCGAUCAGUUGGUCCCAGAGGUCCCGCAGCUCAACGAGGCGAUCCUCUAGGACAGACUGUCUCUCACCGUCUACCUGGCUCUGAGUCUGGCCUCGUCUAUGGAUGUCAUCUAUGCGAGGCUGGUGGCCUUGGAUCUCCUUCUGCAGUGUCUGGUUUAGAGAACAGAGAGAAGGUGGCAGUUUGAGCACCUUAGGUCUGGACUCAGUGAGUCUGUUUGAUUGAUUAAAGGAACAUGAGUGCAAGUCCCCUUUCAUUUCCAUGCAAUCAAACUGCAAGAUUUUAAUCAACAAACUCAUUAAUCAAUUUCCAUUGCAUGUUUUGAAGAUUUUUUAUCGUACCUGGUUCUUCUUAAUUAGAAGCUGUACAGUUGGCAGGUCUUUUCCGUGGUCCGUUGAGGCUGCCAGUGGCAUCCUCUCUUUCACCCAAAGCUUACAUACAAACA